GACAGAGGUGCCAAGCGUUAGGCGGAAUCACUGGGCUUAAAGCGUGUGUAGGCGGAUCGUUAAGUACCUUGUGAAAUCCCACGGCUCAACCGUGGAACUGCUCGGUAUACUGGCGAUCUUGAGCUGUCUAGGGGCUACCGGAACAAAUGGUGGAGCGGUGAAAUGCGUAGAUAUCAUUUGGAACGCCAAUGGUGAAAACAGGUAGCUGGGGACAUGCUGACGCUGAGACACGAAAGCCAGGGGAGCAAACGGG
rnacentral:rRNA from 1 species